rnacentral:tRNA from 1 species
GUCUGGCUGGCUCAGUCAGUGGAGCGUGAGACUCUUGAUCUUGAGGCUGUGGGUUUGAGCCCCACACUGGGCA